rnacentral:rRNA from 1 species
UAUUAUUCUAAAAUAUUUUUUUUAAGCCUUGGUUAGUAGUAGGUAUUUACUUAAAAUCUAAAAAAUUUGGCGGUAAUUUAAUCUUUUCAGAGGAACUUGUUUUUUAAUCGAUAAACCUCGAAAUAUCUUGCUUAUUGUUAGUAAAAGUUUGUAUACCGUCAUUAUCAGGUGAUUUUUAAAAAACAAAUUGUUGAUAGUAAAAGUUUAAUUAAAUUAGAUCAUGGUGCAGCUGAUAAAUAAGUUAAAAUGAGUUACAAUAAAUUAUUUUAUAUGGAUAAAUAAAAGAAUUUUUAUUUAGAAGGAGGAUUUGAUUGUAUUUUGAAUUUAAUAUGUUCAGAAGAUGAUAGCUCUAAAUUAUGUACAUAU